rnacentral:rRNA from 1 species
AUUGAACGCUGGCGGCAGGCCUAACACAUGCAAGUCGAACGAGUGGUGGACGGGUGAGUACUGUCUGGGAAACUGCCCGAUGGAGGGGGAUCACUACUGGAAACGGUAGCUUAUACCACAUACUCUCGGCUGUGCCCAUAUGGGAUUAGCUUGUAGGGUGGGUACCGGCUCACCUAGGCGACGAUCCCUAGCUGGGCUGAGAGGCUGACCAGCCACACUGGAACUGGGAAACGGUCCAGACUCCUACGGGAGGCAGCAGUGGGGAAUAUUGCACAAUGGGCGCAAGCCUGAUGCAGCCAUGCCGCGUGUAUGAAGAAGGCCUUCGUGUUGUAAAGUACUUUCAGCGAGGAGGCGUUACUCGCAGAAGAAGCACCGGCUAACUCCGUGCCAGCAGCCGCGGUAAUUC